AGAGUUUGAUCAUGGCUCAGGACGAACGCUGGCGGCGUGCUUAACACAUGCAAGUCGAGCGAUGAAACACCUUCGGGUGUGAAUUAGCGGCGAACGGGUGAGGAACACGUGAAGAAUCUGCCUUCAACUCUGGGAUAACUCCGGGAAACCGGGGCUAAUACCGGAUAUGAGCCUUGAUCGCAUGAUCGGGGCUGGAAAGUUUUUCGGUUGAAGAUGACUUCGCGGCCUAUCAGCUUGUUGGUGAGGUAAUGGCUCACCAAGGCGACGACGGGUAGCCGGCCUGAGAGGGCGACCGGCCACACUGGGACUGAGACACGGCCCAGACUCCUACGGGAGGCAGCAGUGGGGAAUAUUGGGCAAUGGAGGAAACUCUGACCCAGCGACGCCGCGUGAGGGAUGAAGGCCUUCGGGUUGUAAACCUCUUUCAGUAGGGAAGAAGCGAAAGUGACGGUACCUACAGAAGAAGCACCGGCUAACUAUGUGCCAGCAGCCGCGGUAAUACAUAGGGUGCAAGCGUUGUCCGGAAUUAUUGGGCGUAAAGAGCUCGUAGGUGGUUCGAUACGUCGGAUGUGAAAAUCAGGGGCUCAACCCCUGACCUGCAUCCGAUACGGUCGAGCUGGAGUUUGGUAGGGGAGACUGGAAUUCCUGGUGUAGCGGUGGAAUGCGCAGAUAUCAGGAGGAACACCGAUGGCGAAGGCAGGUCUCUGGGCCAAUACUGACACUGAGGAGCGAAAGCGUGGGGAGCGAACAGGAUUAGAUACCCUGGUAGUCCACGCCGUAAACGGUGGGCGCUAGUUGUGCGAACCUUCCA
rnacentral:rRNA from 1 species